GUCUGUGUGGCUCAGUGGAUAGAGCGUCAGCCUGUGGACUGAAGGGUCCCAGGUUCGAUUCCAGCCAAGGGCA
rnacentral:tRNA from 1 species